rnacentral:rRNA from 1 species
GACGAACGCUGGCGGCGUGCUUAACACAUGCAAGUCGAACGAAGUGGCGAACGGGUGAGUAACGCGUAACCAACCUGCCCUUCAGAGGGGGACAACAGUUGGAAACGACUGCUAAUACCGCAUACUGAAGGAGGGGAUUGCGUCGGAUUAGUUAGUGGGCGGGGUAACGGCCCACCAAGGCGAUGAUCAGUAGCCGGUAUGAGAGGAUGAACCGCGACAAUGGGAUGGAGACACGGCCAAAAAUCCUACGGGAGGCAAGAUUGGGGAAACGUCCGGGAUGGACGAAAGGCUGACGGAGCAACGCAGCGUGAGUGAUGACGGCCUUCGGGUUGUAAAGCUCUGUUAAUCGGGGCGCGGUACCGGAAUAGUAAACCACUGCUAACUACGUGCCAGCAGCCGCGGUAAUUC